UACGUAGGGGGGCUAGCGUUGUCCGGAUUUAUUGGGCGUAAAGAGCGUGUAGGCGGCCAGGUAGGUCUGCUGUGAAAACUCGAGGCUUAACCUCGAGAUGUCGGCGGAAACCAUCUGGCUAGAGUCCGGAAGAGGAGAGUGGAAUUCCUGGUGUAGCGGUGAAAUGCGCAGAUAUCAGGAAGAACACCCGUGGCGAAGGCGGCUCUCUGGGACGGUACUGACGCUGAGACGCGAAAGCGUGGGGAGCGAACAGG
rnacentral:rRNA from 1 species